rnacentral:rRNA from 1 species
GGGUGAGUAACACGUAUCCAACCUGCCGACAACACUGGGAUAGCCUUUCGAAAGAAAGAUUAAUACCGGAUGGCAUAGUUUUCCCGCAUGGGAUAAUUAUUAAAGAAUUUCGGUUGUCGAUGGGGAUGCGUUCCAUUAGGCAGUUGGCGGGGUAACGGCCCACCAAGCCAACGAUGGAUAGGGGUUCUGAGAGGAAGGUCCCCCACAUUGGAACUGAGACACGGUCCAAACUCCUACGGGAGGCAGCAGUGAGGAAUAUUGGUCAAUGGACGAGAGUCUGAACCAGCCAAGUAGCGUGAAGGAUGACUGCCCUAUGGGUUGUAAACUUCUUUUAUACGGGAAUAAAGUGAGCCACGUGUGGCUUUUUGUAUGUACCGUAUGAAUAAGGAUCGGCUAACUCCGUGCCAGCAGCCGCGGUAAUACGGAGGAUCCGAGCGUUAUCCGGAUUUAUUGGGUUUAAAGGGAGCGUAGGCGGGUUGUUAAGUCAGUUGUGAAAGUUUGCGGCUCAACCGUAAAAUUGCAGUUGAUACUGGCGACCUUGAGUGCAACAGAGGUAGGCGGAAUUCGUGGUGUAGCGGUGAAAUGCUUAGAUAUCACGAAGAACUCCGAUUGCGAAGGCAGCUUACUGGAUUGUAACUGACGCUGAUGCUCGAAAGUGUGGGUAUCAAACAGGAUUAGAUACCCUGGUAGUCCACACAGUAAACGAUGAAUACUCGCUGUUGGCGAUAU